UUUUAAGAUUAAGCCAUGCAUGUCUCAGUACUUGCUAUAACAAGGCGAAACCGCGAAUGGCUCAUUAAAUCAGUUAUGGUUCACUAGAUCGUACAGUUUACACGGAUAACUGUGGUAAUUCUAGAGCUAAUACGUGCAACCAGCUUACUCCCUUGUGGAGUAAGCGCAGUUAUUAGAACAAAACCAAUCCGGCCUUCGGGUCGGUAAAAUUGGUGACUCUGAAUAACCGAAGCGGAGCGCAUGGUCUCGUACCGGCGCCAGAUCUUUCAAGUGUCUGACUUAUCAGCUUGUUGUUAGGUUAUGUUCCUAACAAGGCUUCAACGGGUAACGGGGUAUCAGGGUCCGAUACCGGAGAGGGAGCCUGAGAAACGGCUACCACAUCCAAGA
rnacentral:rRNA from 1 species